CCUACGGGAGGCAGCAGUGGGGAAUAUUGCGCAAUGGGCGAAAGCCUGACGCAGCGACGCCGCGUGAGGGAUGAAGGUCUUCGGAUCGUAAACCUCUGUCAGCAGGGAAGAACGGUCACUGUGCUAAUCAGCAGUGAAUUGCCGGUACCUGCAAAGGAAGCACCGGCUAACUCCGUGCCCGCAGCCGCGGUAAAACGGAGGGGGCUAGCGUUAAGGGGAAUUACUGGGCGUAAAGCGAUCGUAGGCGGUAUGGCAAGUCAAGGGUGAAAUGCGCGGGCUCAACGUGCGAACUGCCUUGGAAACGGGGAAACUGGAGUGUGUGAGAGGAUAGUGGAAUUCCAGGUGUAGGAGUGAAAUCCGUAGAUAUCUGGAGGAACAUCAGUGGCGAAGGCGACUAUCUGGAACAUAACUGACGCUGAGGAGCGAAAGCGUGGGUAGCAAACAGGAUUAGAUACCCGGGUAGUC
rnacentral:rRNA from 1 species